rnacentral:pre_miRNA from 1 species
AGCAUUUUGAAUCUAUGAACAGAUUUCGUCAAACAAAGACCACCAAGGCCGAUGAAACUCACAAGAUAAGUGAGGCA